CAGAAAGGCUCAGCAGUGCCCACUUACAGCUGUUUCUGAAGGGCUGGUGCUAAGCUGGACCUUUCUCAGCUGUAUUCCUUCAGAGUCCUGGCCCUGUGCCUCACAGGUUGUCCUGCACACUGCAGAGGAAUUCUAUGGGAUUUGUUUAGGAGUUUGGAUUCCAAGCAGUUAAAAAAUGGUGCAAUGCUCCGUCUUGCAGAACUUAAAGUUUUUUGUUCUUGAAUAUGACUCUGAACUGCUGUUGGCCCCUAGGAACAUACCAGCUAAGAAACUGCAGUUUAGAAUUGCAAAUCAAUUGCAAAUCAUUAAUUACUCAUUCUCUUUGCUGCUUUAUCAGGAAGACUUGAUGGUACUUGGUAGUGCAGGACCCAAACAGAGACCAAUCAUAGUUUUAUUUCCUGAUUAAGUCUCUGUUCCUGUGUGCUGGAAAUCCAUAAACCAAUGUACUCUCUUCUUUAUCCUACCACAGGCUCUCCAAUUCUGAGCAUGGUAAAUCCAUCCCAGGUGAUUUAACUGGUAGAGGGUGUACCAAGACCUGGGUGCUCCAGGUGGCACUUUAAGGUAGAAGUAAUGUUUUUACUCAGUAUAGGUUGUUCUGAAAGUGAAGAUUAUCUUUGUACAUAAUCUUGCAAAAGUACCACAGAAUCAGUUCUAGCCUACUGUAUUUACGAGCCUGCACAAUAGGAGCUGUGUCAAGUGGAAAACAUUACUGAUGGGAAAGAUUCAUCCACCAAUAUUUGAACUAACAAGGAUUUUUACUGUAAGAAAGAGGGUGCUAGAAAGAGGGUACUGCAAGAAAGAGGGUCCAGCAUAACAGGAUUAUUUCAGCAAGUCCUAUUUCUCCCCACUAUGGUGAGAUCCAAUACCCUGCAGUCACUGCUAAUAUACACCUCAUUUUUGUCUCCAGACUGCCUCUGGGGCAGGUCUUAGAUAUGCUGGGGCAGGUGCCUAAAUCCCAAAAGCAGUUCUUCCUCCACCAUAAUGAUAAUUAUGCCUCGCUAAUAUUCAAAAUAUUGAUCUUUAAGCCCUUCCAAAUGCUUUAGAUAAAUGAUCAGUAAUGUUUGUACACCAUUUUUAGUGUGGUCCUUGUAUUAAUAGCCAAUAUGUUCUUUCAGCUACAGCUCCCGUGAGUCAGACUUGUCCAGUAACCAAAGGCAGAAUACAGGCAGUACAGUACAGCACAAAGCAAAUGCUGUUAGAGGUCACACCAAGGAUAACGCAGGACAAACAAUUGGCUCAGGAGCUGGAGAAAAGCAUCAUGAAAAACAACCAAGUGUGAACAGGGGAAGUGGGUUAGAUGUUGCAGCAUCUCUACAUAGAAGUUGCCAGCUAAGUGCAUUUUUUUCCUGGAGACCUGCUAAAACCUAACACGACAGUAUGUUCCUUCUGUGUGAGAUGAAACAGCGACACUGCCAGUAGGAAUAUGUCAACAUGGUAAAUUUUCGCCUCUCUGGAAGUGGGCAGCUUGAUGAUUGCAGCCUGACUGUGACACCAAGGAACAUUACUGUCGGCUCUGCUACUUCAGACCAGAGAGGAAAUGUAAAGACUCUUCCCAAGGCUGACAGUGCUGUUCCUGUCUUUUGUGAUAACCUCUACACAACAGAUUGGUAUAUGACAUGAGGAAGAUUCUGCUUUUGCCCAGCAUCACAGAGAAAAUGACUGUGGAAGAAGUCACCUUCCUCCUGACAAUGCCAUCUGCAUGACCAUACAUCUACACGCCCAACCUAAGCCCUCCCUCUCCCCCCAGGGACUUUACAAAUAUCAACCUGGGUUAAGCCAGGGUUCGUUAGGAGGGGGCUGAGGACAUCGUCAGUACAGCCCAAUGUCCUGUGGGGCCAUGAGGCAUGUGUGAAGCUUUGCUGGGAAGUCCACAAGGCAAGUCAGGGCUAUGAUCAAGGCCAUCAACAUCAAAGGCCAGGUGCAGUCAGAACAGCAAGGUGCCUCCAGCAGGUGGGGGCCUGAGCUAUGUGCAGGUCCUACCAUAGGUGAGGAGCCAGAGGAGGUUGGUCAUGACCCUUUCUUACAGCGUGGCUGUUUUCUGUGACGCUGGAUCCCAGGUUAAAUACCCGCACUAGAUCAGAACAGACCUUGAUUACAAAUUCUUAGAACUUGGAGGAGAAUCAUAGAAUCAUAGAAUCACAAGGUUGGAAACGACCUAUAAGAUCAUCUAGUCCAACUGUCUUCAC